rnacentral:rRNA from 1 species
CCCUUAGAUGUUCUGGGCCGCACGUGCGCUACACUGACGAAUGCAACGAGCUUAUAACCUUGGCCGAAAGGUCUGGGUAAUCUCCAAAUUUCGUCGUGAUGGGGAUAGAUUAUUGCAAUUAUUAAUCUUCAACGAGGAAUGCCUAGUAAGCGCAAGUCAUCAGCUUGCGUUGAUUACGUCCCUGCCCUUUGUACACACCGCCCGUCGCUCCUACCGAUUGAAUGGUCCGGUGAAGCGCUCGGACCGCGGCCUCUUGACGGUUUUCCGUCGAUUGGCUGUGGGAAGUUCGUUAAACCUUAUCAUUUAGAGGAAGGAGAAGUCGUAACA